UCCAAUUUAGAGGAAGUAAAAGUCGUAACAAGGUUUCCGUAGGUGAACCUGCGGAAGGAUCAUUACCGAAUUGUCAACACGAGUUGUUGCUGGUCCUCAAAACGGGGGCAUGUGCACGCUCUGUUUACACAUCCACUCACACCUGUGCACCCUCUGUAGUUCUGUGGCAUGGGGGACUCUGUCCUCCUGUUGUGGUCCUACGUCUUUACACACACUCUGUAAUAAAGUCUCAUGGAAUGCAUGACGCGUUUAACGCAAUACAAUACAACUUUCAGCAACGGAUCUCUUGGCUCUCGCAUCGAUGAAGAACGCAGCGAAAUGCGAUAAGUAAUGUGAAUUGCAGAAUUCAGUGAAUCAUCGAAUCUUUGAACGCACCUUGCGCCCUUUGGCUAUUCCGAAGGGCAUGCCUGUUUGAGUAUCAUGAACACCUCAACUCUCAUGGUUUGCCGUGAUGAGCUUGGACUUUGGAGGUCUUGCCGGCCUGCGGUCGGCUCCUCUCAAAUGGAUCAGCUUGCCAGUGUUUGGUGGCAUCAUGGGUGUGAUAACUAUCUACGCCUGUGGUUUUCCACCGGAUAACCUUCAGUGAUGGAGGUACGCUGGAGCUCAUAAAUGUCUCUCCUCAGUGAAGACAGCUUUUUGAACGUUUGAUCUCAAAUCAGGUAGGACUACCCGCUGAACUUAAGCAUAUCA
rnacentral:rRNA from 1 species